rnacentral:rRNA from 1 species
UACGUAGGGGGCAAGCGUUGUCCGGAAUCAUUGGGCGUAAAGGGCGCGCAGGCGGCUCAUUUUGUCAGGCGUGAAAGCCCCGGGCUUAACCUGGGAACUGCGUUUGAUACGGAUGGGCUAGAGUUCGGGAGAGGAGAGUGGAAUUCCCAGUGUAGAGGUGAAAUUCGUAGAUAUUGGGAAGAACACCGGUGGCGAAGGCGGCUCUCUGGACCGAGACUGACGCUGAGGCGCGAAAGCGUGGGGAGCAAACAGG